GCCCACUCUCGGCUUCCCGCGGCCGCCUCUGUGUGUACAAACACAAAAGACACGCCGCGCGCGCCGCAGACGGAGAGCGAGCGAGGGAGCGAAGCAGGGAAUCCCCCCUUGGCCCUCCUGGCUUCCUUCCCCUGCCAGAGGGGAGCACGAGGCCCCAAGUCAGCGCCCAACGGUCCAGCGGGAGGAGACCCCUAACCGUCAGGAUCCGGCGGCGCGAGGUCAGGGCCAACGGUCUCUCUGCGUUGCUUCGGGCAUUAGGGGAUGGCUUGGGGGCUCCCUCGCUGCUCCUGGACUGAACUCUCAGGGGGCCCCCCAGGUUAGGGUGGCCCAAGCCUGUGAGACUCUGGAGGCCAGGGGGGCCAACCUGAAUAAAAUAUAGGGGGCACAAGGUAAGCCCCGUCCCACCUAAUCGGUCGCAAGACGUGGCACACGGACACCAUUUGAAUGGCAAUGCCCAUCAACUGCGGGGGGGGGGACUCCCUAAAAUAUUUUAUUACGGGGGUGAAGGGACAUCGGUCCCUAGGAGUUUCACUCCUCUGCUUGAGGCGCUUCACACGCCCACCGCUUGAUGAAGCCUCAAACUCGGGGGCGAGGAGUACUAGCAUGAACGACUGAGAUCCAACAGCAAAGGGACUUUCCAAGAAGUUUGAGGCUGCUCGAUGGGGUGGGUGGAGGGGAACUCAUUGGUGAGGAGAGAGGGAUUGGAGCCUGAUUGCAAUGAAUGAGGUGGAGUACGAUGGUGGGGGUGGGGGUGUUAAAAAGUUUAAGGCCUUUAAAAAUGUGAUUUGUCAGAGGACUGACAUCAUUGCAGCGGAUUUUUAUGCAAUGCGCAGAUUACGCUUCAAGUCAACAAGUGGUGAGCAGAAAGUGAGGUGUUUGGAGUUGGUGAACUGGCCCUCAUGAAGUCCAACUUCAGUGUUUUGCUUCUCCAGUAAUUCUACAGCUUGCCUUCCUCAGAAUAUUCACAUUCAAUCUUAAACCACUAGCUCCACCAGUUUAGGUGGCUUCAGUGACUGGCAGCUUACUCUUUUUAUGCUCAUCUGUUAAAACCACAAUACAGUGGAACGUCGGUUUUCGAAUGUAAUCCGUUCCGGAAAUCUGUUUGACUUUCAAAAAUCAAGGAUCAAAGGUCUGGCUGCAAAGUCAAUGUGGAAAAAAGAAAAAUGUGCCACAGAAGCCGUUCACCUUCCAAGGUGCAUUCGAAAACGGAAGCAUUCACUUCUGGGUUUUCGGUGUUUGGCUUACGAAACGUUCAGCAGCUGAGACUUUCAAAAAACGAGGUUUGACUGUACUGGAACUUCUGGACCAUACACACACAGAGAGAUUUGUAAUGCCCAGAUUUAAAGAAUGAGAGCUAGCUUAAAGGAAUAAAAACUUCAUUCCACAAUUUCUGUUUUCUGACAGACACUAUAUAUUGCUGAUAAGAUCUGUGAAAUCUCAAGCCAAGGCUGGCCUUAGGUUCGGGUGACCCUUGUCUGUGGUCCCCCAAUCCUCCCCUUCUAAUCUCUCAUACACAUUCUUCUAUGCAACAGGUGCCUCUCAACUCAGAAGCUGUAGUCAUAGGAUGAAAACUCCAGAUGGUCCGGAACACUUUUCACUAAGUGCCCCUCCAGACUAGUGUUUUUGUGUGUGGGCGUGCUCUGCAACUUGUCAUUGACUCAGUAAUAGGGCAUAAGUGGUUGAUUUAUACCGGACCAUCAACACAUCAUUCCACUUUAUUAGUUCUGCAAUGCUUUCCUAAUGUAACCACAUUAUUGCUGCGUGGAAGGGCAGUUUUGCACUACAGCACAACUGAAGCAGGACAAACCACCAUCCCAUCCUGAACAUUUGUGGUAUUAAAAGUUGCAUGAAUUCAUUAGGAAGCUAUGGGACAUGCACUGAUUGGAAAUGAAGCAAUAGUUCCAUCCCAAAACUUUUCAAAUCCCAUCAGGAGCACAUAUCAUCUUGAAUGUACA
rnacentral:lncRNA from 1 species